rnacentral:piRNA from 1 species
UCAGAAUGGAACUGUAUUUGGACAUGUGG